rnacentral:lncRNA from 1 species
UUUUCUCCCGCUCUUUCUCCAGGUUGCAGAAUAUUUUUGGAGGAACCACAUAGCUCGCUCUCAUCAGUCUAUGUUCUCGUGCUGCACGUGGUCCUUUGAUGCAACUUAGUGGAGCUUUUGCUCUGCUCUGGUUGCUGGCCCCUUCCUGUCCUCACUGUGCAAGAGAAGAAAAAACUGAUUUCUAGCUGACUUAGGGACAGGGAUUUAUUUCCCUCACCACCCAGCCAUCCCUUGAAUAUUGGCUCUAAUCCCAGAGAAGAAAAAAGAACUGAAGCUCUACAUUCAGACGCCAAGGGAAGCUGUGGGCAAGGUAGGGCUCUCCCCCAGCAGCCCCUCCUGCGUGCACUUUUGCCUUCCAC